rnacentral:rRNA from 1 species
AGAGUUUGAUCCUGGCUCAGGAUGAACGCUAGCGACAGGCUUAACACAUGCAAGUCGAGGGGCAGCAGGGGAGUAGCAAUACUCCCGCUGGCGACCGGCGCACGGGUGAGUAACACGUAUGCAACCUGCCCUUGUCAGGGGGAUAAGCGGAAGAAAUUCCGUCUAAUACCGCAUAACGCUGCGGGGAGACAUCUCCCUGCAGCCAAAGAUUUAUCGGACAAGGAUGGGCAUGCGGCGCAUUAGCUUGUUGGCGGGGUAACGGCCCACCAAGGCGACGAUGCGUAGGGGUUCUGAGAGGAAGGUCCCCCACACUGGUACUGAGACACGGACCAGACUCCUACGGGAGGCAGCAGUGAGGAAUAUUGGUCAAUGGCCGGGAGGCUGAACCAGCCAAGUCGCGUGAGGGAAGACGGUCCUAUGGAUUGUAAACCUCUUUUGUCAGGGAGCAAAAACUGCCACGCGUGGCAGGAUGAGAGUACCUGAAGAAAAAGCAUCGGCUAACUCCGUGCCAGCAGCCGCGGUAAUACGGAGGAUGCGAGCGUUAUCCGGGUUUAUUGGGUUUAAAGGGUGCGUAGGCGGACAGUUAAGUCAGCGGUAAAAUUGAGAGGCUCAACCUCUUCCCGCCGUUGAAACUGAUUGUCUUGAGUGGGCGAGAAGUAUGCGGAAUGCGUGGUGUAGCGGUGAAAUGCAUAGAUAUCACGCAGAACUCCGAUUGCGAAGGCAGCAUACCGGCGCCCAACUGACGCUGAAGCACGAAAGCGUGGGUAUCGAACAGGAUUAGAUACCCUGGUAGUCCACGCAGUAAACGAUGAAUACUAAUUGUUCGGGUCGAGUGAGAUCUGAGUGAUACAGCGAAAGCGUUAAGUAUUCCACCUGGGGAGUACGCCGGCAACGGUGAAACUCAAAGGAAUUGACGGGGGCCCGCACAAGCGGAGGAACAUGUGGUUUAAUUCGAUGAUACGCGAGGAACCUUACCCGGGCUCAAACGACACAGGAAUGAUCUGAGAAAUCAGGCAGUCCUUCGGGACCUGUGUCGAGGUGCUGCAUGGUUGUCGUCAGCUCGUGCCGUGAGGUGUCGGCUUAAGUGCCAUAACGAGCGCAACCCCCAUCGACAGUUGCCAGCAGGUCAAGCUGGGCACUCUGUCGAGACUGCCGGCGCAAGCUGUGAGGAAGGCGGGGAUGACGUCAAAUCAGCACGGCCCUUACGUCCGGGGCGACACACGUGUUACAAUGGCAGGUACAGCGGGAAGCCACCUGGCGACAGGGAGCGGAACCCGAAAGCCUGUCUCAGUUCGGAUUGGAGUCUGCAACUCGACUCCAUGAAGCUGGAUUCGCUAGUAAUCGCGCAUCAGCCACGGCGCGGUGAAUACGUUCCCGGGCCUUGCACACACCGCCCGUCAAG